rnacentral:rRNA from 1 species
AACGCUGGCGGCAGGCUUAACACAUGCAAGUCGAGCGCGUAGCAAUACGAGCGGCAGACGGGUGAGUAACGCGUGGAAUCUACCCAACCCUACGGAAUAACGCAUGGAAACGUGUGCUAAUACCGUAUACGCCCUUAGGGGGAAAGAUUUAUCGGGGAUGGAUGAGCCCGCGUUGGAUUAGCUAGUUGGUGGGUAAAGGCCUACCAAGGCGACGAUCCAUAGCUGGUCUGAGAGGAUGAUCAGCCACAUUGGGACUGAGACACGGCCCAAACUCCUACGGGAGGCAGCAGUGGGGAAUAUUGGACAAUGGGCGAAAGCCUGAUCCAGCAAUGCCGCGUGAGUGAUGAAGGCCUUAGGGUUGUAAAGCUCUUUUACCCGGGAUGAUAAUGACAGUACCGGGAGAAUAAGCUCCGGCUAACUCCGUG